rnacentral:rRNA from 1 species
CCUCUCGGGGGUAAGCGGGCAGAACUUGCAAGAAAUGAUAAGAAGAUUCAGACUUAGACCUGACGGUUGAGAGUAUUUGUUAAGUUGUUCGUUCGCGGACUGACUGAUUUGUGCUCUUUGUUCUGUUGGUAAUGCGUCGCAUUUCUUCUUGUCUAAUGGGUUGCAUGCAACUGAUUUAAACUCUAGGUAUUGAGAAUCUGCAAAUCCUUGUGGUUUGAGUCUUGGUUACCGAGUUUUGUUGCGGUUGUUGAAAGCGAACAGGUGUUUAAACACGUUCAAAUCUUUGCACGAGUAGGGCACUUAUCAUGUAUGGACGAGUAAUCGUAGUAUGUGGUAUGGGCUGAUUGUCAGUGUGAAGAAUUUGGCACUGUUCAGUAUUGCAAUCUAAAGCAUGCGUGGUCUGCCUGU